GUGGAGUGCCAUGGUCCUUAUUGCUACCUCCGUUCUCCACCGUAGCCGUGAUCUGGACAUGGACCAGUGGAUGUAACUAGUGGAAAACUGGAAAUAUUUUCGUUGGCUCCCUGGCGGUCUCGAAGCGUUCUCCGUCAUCGCUGAAGAUGUCGAGGGCCUUGACAUGAUGCUGGGAGAGAGGAUCUGAAAUUCGGUAGCGGAAGGAAUGCUUUUCUUAUGAAUGGAACCGGAGAGAACGUGCAAGAUCAGAGAGAACGUGGAGGAAGUAGGACAUCAAAAGAAAAUGGCGAAUGACGAAAGGUGGCUGUUCACAAGUCAACAGCAAGCCUGUACUCAUGUCUCAAGCAAUCAUCCUGAUGUCAAGAGGAUGAACUGGUCCCGAUGUGUCCAUGUUGAAUCGCAAGUUCCAAGAGGCUAUAGAGGUGGAGGCCAAAGGCUUUGAAGUUACAGACAGAAUAAAUUUUUGGAGGCCUACAAGCACAAGCACCGCAUCAGGAACGGAAACACUACGGCAGACUUCCAUAAUGUGGGGAAGUAACCUGUGGGUCAUCAAGUGGUCAUCUGGUAACAUUAAGAAGUUGCAACCCGCGGCUUCUUAGGGUUCUACCAUAUGCGCAGUACAUGUACAUGCAUGGAUAGUCACAAAUGACGUGCUGACAUCACCUGAGGUAGACGUGCUAAAGUCGGCAGAGGUAGACAGCCUGAUGUUGGUUGAGGUUGGGAAAAAUACGAGAUGUGUUGGGAGGCGUUCAGCUUCUUUCCCCUCCGAAGAAUGGACAUCAGCAUCACCACUUUAAAUUGAGCUUAAACUGUUAAGAUUCUACAUGUACUGUAUAUACAGUUUUCUUUAUGUAGCACCCCACGUUUUUACCGAGUGAGUAAAGAAAAAAAAGAGAACUUAUUUGCCGUUAAAGUCGCUCCUAACCCCCCGUCCACUAAAAAUGUUGCCCUUAAAGUCGCUCCUAACCCCCAUCCACUAAAAAUGUUGCUCUUAAAGUCUCUCCUAACCCCCCGUCCACUAAAAAUGUUGCCCUUAAAGUCGCUCCUAACCCCCAUCCACUAAAAAUGUUGCCCUUAAAGUCGCUCCUAACCCCCCCGUCAACUAAAAAUGUUGCUCUUAAAGUCUCUCCUAACCCCCGUCCACUAAAAAUUGUGUCCUUUGCAAAAAUGUAGGUUUACUUUGUGCAUGUUAAAUAGUAUGUUUGUACAGUAUUGUGUCUCGUCGCUGAUGCUCUAGCCAUUUGUGGACAUUUUCCUACCAACAUCACCGCUCCAUGGAUGGUGCUGUUAUGUUGUUUCUCCAUGAGGACUUGAUGCAGCCCCGGUGUAGAUGCCCAACCAUCCUAUGUGUGUUACCUGUCUCUUGAUGCCAUUGAUACCAGUUCCUAGUGCUACUUUUCUGCAGUGGUCCUUUCUGUGCCAGUGUUGCAUCUCGUGAAUUUUCAAAUGCAGGUAUUGUGUGGCUUCUCAUAGUUUGCUAGCUAUUGAGGGANCAAACAUCAUUGGCUUCCAGAACAGUGCAGUUGAUCAUCUCUGUCAUGUCAUCAAACAGCAGUUUUAGACGCCCUGCAGAUUUCACAUUUAAGGCAGAGAUAGUCACAAAUGCACAAGUCAUGCUGAUGUCGGCAGAGGUAGAUUUGCUGAGGUCGGCAGACAUGCCGAAGUCGGCAGAGGCAGACAAGCUGAUGUUGAUGGAGCGUGGAAGACACCUAGAUGGACAUCGACAGGAGGAGAGACAGACGGAAGUGAGAUGACUAUCCUGAAGGUU